GGCUCCGGGACCGCCUCCCCCCGGCACCGGCUGGUGAGGGUGGGGGGUCCGGGCCGGUUGGAGCAGGUGAGGAGGGGGCGGCCGGGGGGGGGAGGGGGGGCGCGAUGGGGUAACGGGGGGGUGGGGAACGAUGGGUAACGGUGGGGAAUGGGGGGCGGGGAGCGGAGGGUUGGGGAGAGGUGUGGGGUCACCGCGGGGGGGUUCGGGGGUGGGGCGGAGUGGGGUACGUGGGGGGGGCGGAGGGAGCGGGAGAGGGGAUGGGGGAACGGGGGGGGAACGGCGGCUGAGAGAGGGAAUUGGGAAAGGGGGAAGUGGGGGGGUUGGGGUGGGGGAUGGGGGUUUGGGGGCUUCGGGGGGGGGGGAGAGGAGAGGGAUGGGGCACAAAGGAGCACAGCGGGGAGAGAGCUGAGGGCACCGCGGGGGGGACCCGAGGGGGGGUCCGCAGCUCUGGGGAUGGGGGGGGUUCCGUGGGGGUCCAUUCCCACCGCUCCGUAGGGCCCCAACGAGAGCGAAUACUCGGAGCCCUUUGAGCAGAACGCAGCGCCCGAGGGCAGCAAUGAGGACCCCCGCGAGGCCGCAGGUGGGUGACACCGCACCGCGUCCCCCCCCACCCCACACACCCCCCCUGCACCCGUCGCCAUGGGGGUCCCGCAGCCCCCCCGGCCCCCGCUGCGCCCCAUAGCCCUGCCCGUCCGCAGGGCGCCCACGGCACGGCGGGGGGCAGCGGGUGAGGGGGCAGAGGGACCCCCGGCUCUACGACACCCCCUGCGAGGAAUGGGAGAAGGUGGGGAGGGCGCGGGGGGGGGCGCAGCCCGUGAGAGCCGCCUGCCCCGCGACGACGAGCGCCCGGCCGAUGAGUACGACCAACCCUGGGAGUGGAAGAAGGACCACAUCUCCAGGGCCUUCGCAGUGCAGUUUGAGAGCCCCGAACGCUCUCCCAGUCUGUCCCGGCAGCCGCCGCGCCCCCCCCCCCCCCCCGGGCACGAGGCCACUCUGCCCGCCCAGCCCGGGGCACGUGGACACCUCGCUGCCCCUGGAGAAGCAAGCGUGAGUUUGGGGGUCCCCUCCAACGUGGGGUGGCACCGAUGUCCCCACCAGGCAUCAUGGAUGGCAUCUGUGGGGUGCAGUGGGGUCCCUACGGCUCAGAAGGGGUACAGGCUGUCCCUGUGGCACAGAUGGGUCCCCACAGUGGAGAUGGGUCCCCAUGGCACAGAAGGUGCCCCAUGGCACAGAUGGGUCCCCAUGGCAUGGAUGUCCCAUUGGCACAGGGGGGUCCCGUGGCACAGAAGGUGCCCCAUGGCAUGGACAACCCAAUGGUGCAAAGGGGUCCCUGUGGUGGAGAUGGGUCCCCAUGGCACAGAUGUGCCCCCAUAGUGGAGAUGGGUCCCCAUGGCAUGGAUGUCCCCAUGGUGCAGUUGGGUCCCCAUGGCACAGAUGGGUCCCCAUAGUGGAAAUGGGUCCCCAUGGCAUGGACGUCCCCAUGGCACAGGGGGGUCCCUAUGGUGGAGAUGGGUCCCCAUGGCACAGACAUCCCCAUGGCACAGGGGGGUCCCCAUGGCAUGGAUAUCCCCAUGAUGGAGAUGAAGGGUCCCCGUGGCGUGAUGACCCCAUAGCACAGCAGGUGCCCCACAGCACAUUGUGGUGGCACAGAUGGGUCCCCGCGGCCCUUUGGUGCCCCACGUUGACUUUGGUCCCCGUGACACAAAGGCAGGUCCCUGCCCCACGGGGCCAAGCAGUGCAGGCGGGACGCGGUGCCCCCCGUCGGGGUGCUGUGUGCACCCAUCGGGGUGACGCCCCCCACGGUGCCCCACACAGGUGGUACCACGGCCCC
rnacentral:lncRNA from 7 species